AUACGUAGGGGGCAAGCGUUAUCCGGAUUUACUGGGUGUAAAGGGAGCGUAGACGGCUAUGCAAGUCUGGUAUGAAAACCCGGGGCUCAACCCCGGGACUGCAUUGGAAACUGUGUGGCUUGAGUGUCGGAGAGGUAAGUGGAAUUCCUAGUGUAGCGGUGAAAUGCGUAGAUAUUAGGAGGAACACCAGUGGCGAAGGCGGCUUACUGGACGAUGACUGACGUUGAGGCUCGAAAGCGUGGGGAGCAAACAGGAUUAGAUACCCUGGUAGUCCACGCCGUAAACGAUGUAUACUAGGUGUCGGGUGGCAAAGCCAUCCGGUGCCGCAGCAAACGCAAUAAGUAUACCACCUGGGGAGUACGCCGGCAACGGUGAA
rnacentral:rRNA from 1 species